rnacentral:sRNA from 1 species
UGGAGCUUAUGUGAGCAGUAUGGUGGAU